UAGGCUUUAGCUUUAGCAGACUGGCGCGAGACGAUGAUUUAACUUGAGAAAAGCAUUGUGGGAGUUUUGGGUAAAAGUGCGCAGGUGUUGAGAUUGAAAGGGAAGGUCUGGCAUUAAGAGACUACGUUAAGCUGCUUGGUGAAAGAAGCAUGCAGAGACUGCGAUGAGAUCUCCAGCCUGUUGGCGAUGUCCACUGCAGCACGACGCAUGUCUUCAAAGGCCAAGGACUCUUCUCUGAUUCUGCUCCGGAAACACAAACGAUCCAGGUCACAGAGUGAAGGGAAGGAAGAAACAGGGGCAGAUGUGGAGAGAGACGGUAAGCUCAUCACCAACUGCCUGCAACGUGUCAUUGGUGGCCAUUCUCGCAGAAUAAAUGUCAAAGCCUGAACCCCAAUCUCCACUUUGGCAGAGUGUUGGGGUUGCCAUGGAUACCCAGGCCAAGAUGAAGGGCAUCCAACAAUGCCACAUAGUAACCUGAAAAGAGAAGGAGAAACAACCCUCUUCCUUACUAAGACUGGGAAGCCAUUUAUUAAGAAAAGACGA